rnacentral:piRNA from 1 species
UGGGCCUUGCUUUCAGAAGAGAACCCUCCUU